CACGUGCCGCCCGCCGCGGGUCGGGGGCGCGGAGUGGGAACUGUACGGACCUGUACGCUGCCCGCCGACCGAGUCCGAGGUGAGCGGCUAGAGGCGGGUGAGUCCGCCUGCCUGCAGACACAGAAUGUCUCUGGCUGCGUAUUGCGUCAUCUGUUGCAGAAGAAUGGGAACCUCAGCUCCUCCGCUGAAAAGCCACACAUACUGGAGAGAGAUCAGAAAUUUAAUAAAGUUUACUGGAUCACUUAUUUUAGGGGGUUCUCUAUUUAUUACUUAUGAAGUUCUGGCCCUGAAGAAGUCUUUGACAUUAGAUACUCAAGUGGUAGAAAGAGAAAAAAUGAAGUCAUAUAUAUAUGUGCACACAGUUUCUUUAGAUAAAAGAGAAAGUCAUGGAAUCACCUACCAGGCAAGAAAAGAACUCCACAAAGCAGUAAGAAAAGUAUUGGCAACAUCAGCCAAGAUAUUACGGAGUCCAUUUGCUGACACUUUCAGCACAGUCGAUGUGGAAGAUCAUGAAUGUCCUGUGUGGCUGCUCCUGAGGAAGAGCAGGUCGGAUGACAGAGCAGCACGACUGCAGGCCGUGCAGGAGAUGUCAGAGGCCCAUCACUGGCACGAUUACCAGUAUAGGAUAAUUGCUCAAGCCUGUGACCUGAGAACUCUUACUGGUUUGGCACGAAGCCAAGAAAGUGAUCUUCGCUUUUUUCUCCACCCGCCUCCUUUGCCGUCUUUAAAAGAAGAUUCUUCCAUUGAGGAAGAGCUCAGACAGUUGCUGGCUUCUUUACCUCAAACAGAGCUAGAUGCGUGUAUCCAGUAUUUUACAUCUUUGGCUCUGAGUGAAAGCAGUCAGAGCCUCGCUGCUCAGAAGGGUGGUUUAUGGUGUUUUGGAGGAAACGGACUCCCUUACGCUGAAAGUUUCGGAGAAGUUCCUUCAGCGACAGUGGAGAUGUUCUGCUUGGAAGCUUUAGUAAAACACUCUGAGGCUGGGUUUCCAUACUGGCAGAAGCAAUAAAGUCUGAACACAUUAUGGAGGCCUCCCAUGCCGCCAGAACCCUGGCGAAUCUGGACCGAGAGACUGUGCAGGAGAAGUACCAGGACGGCGUGUACGUGCUGCACCCCCAGUACCGCUCGAGUCAGCCCAUUAAAGCAGAUGUCCUUUUUAUUCAUGGCCUUAUGGGAGCAGCAUUCAAAACAUGGCGCCAGCAGGACAGUGAACGGGAUUUAACUGAACCGGUUUCAGAGGAUGAAACCAAGUAUACGACAUGUUGGCCCAAGUCAUGGUUAGCAAGAGACUGCCCUGCUCUCCGGAUUAUAUCUGUGGAGUAUGACACCAGCCUUAGCGACUGGAGAACACGGUGCCCCAUGGAAAGGUAAUGGGGUGGGGAGGCAGGCCACCAGUGGGCCCUCUGCGACAGACAGGAGUUUUAUCUUUUGAUGCCACAGACAGGCUUUUCUUAUGGAAAACUAACCUAACGUUUUUUUCUCUUCCUUCUAGAAGGAGUUAGCUAUAAGCUAUAAACAGUGAAACUGUAUAAAGCUUAGACAUAAUAUCUGUGUUGGGUUCCUAACAUGGUUCACUUACAGCUAUUCUCACAAUCAGGAUGGAGUCUAGAGCAAGGUCUCUCUCUUUUUUUUUUUUUUUGGCCUUUUUGCCAUUUCUUGGGCUGCUCCCAAGCAUAUGGAGGUUCCCAGGCUAGGGGUCUAAUCAGAGCUGUAGCUGCCGGCCUGUGCCAGAGCCACAGCAACGAGGGAUCCGACCUGUAACUGCAACCUACACCACAGCUCACGGCAACGCCAGAUCCCUAAGCUGCUGAGCGAGGCCAGGGGUCGAACCCACAACCUCAUGGUUCCUCGUCGGGUUUGUUAACCACUGCGCCACAACGGGAACUCCGAGCAAGGUCUCUUUUACUGCUGGGAGUAAACACAGGGCUUUUGGCUUUUGUGUUCACAAGCACGCCACCUAAAGAAAGCAAAGAAAGAUACUGAGAAAUGUAGGAGCCCUUAGGUCAUCUGCACGUCAUCUGUGCCAACUGUCUAUAUGGGGACUGACUGCUGGACGUCGUGGGCUUCAGGACCUGGACGGGAACCAAGUCUGCCUCUGACUCACUGUGCCAUCCGAGGUCUGCCUCUGACUCACUGUGCCAUCCGAGGUCAUUUAACUGGUCUGGGAAGUUUGAUCUACAAGCUGAGGGAGUUGGUCUGAAUCGGUGUUAGCACACGGAGCGUUAGCACUGAGUGCCCCCCACGUAGGCGCCAGAGGGACGAAUGGUGCUAAAGGUCAGCGUGCAGGACCCCAGAGCGCCUUCCCCGUCGCACCCAGAGGAGCCUCACAGACCUUUAUUUCAAAGAAGGGAUUCUGUAGACACUGUUUGAAACUACCAGACCAGAUCACUUUGAAAUUCCCUCUUAGUUUGAAAAUUACUUAUUUGAAUUCUCUGAUUCUAAUACUUUCGGCUAUUUUUAAAUAACCAAAAUGAUGAAAGGUUAGUGUUUGUAGCAUAUACACAAGUAGAACUAAACAGCAAUGACAGCUCACUCCACAGGCGAACUCACGAGAGACAGCAAGGUCUCCCGGGAUGCGUGUUUGUCAGGCCCUGUGGUGAGAAGGGACGCAGGUCCUGAGCGCUGGACAUUGCCAGAUAGGUUUUAGAUGCCUUAACAGUGCUUGUUUUGUAAGCUGCCCCCUAGGCCAGCGUGCCUAUUAGAAAUAAGUGAGCAGUUUGUAGACACCAAGCAGGAAGCACGGACCGGUGUUCUUGACUCCAAAAUGUAGCUUGUAGACUUGGUCCAGGAAACAAAAGGUCUUGCCUUAGAAGGUGGAUAACAAAGUUUAUGGGGGAUUGAUAGCCUCCUGUCAUGCCUGCUGUUUUCGUUUUGUGCAGAAAGUCCAUUGCAUUCAGGAGCAACGAACUUCUUAGGAAGCUCAGAGCCGCUGGUGUUGGGGACCGGCCGAUGAUCUGGGUGUCACAUAGCAUGGGAGGUCUUCUUGUCAAAAAGAUGCUGUUGGAAGCCUCUAAGAAGCCAGAAAUGAAGACUGUGAUAAACAACACCAGAGGAGUAAUUUUUUACAGCGUCCCGCACCAUGGAUCCCAUCUGGCCGAAUACUCUGUUAACAUUCGCUAUCUUCUCUUUCCCUCCUUGGAAGUCAAAGAGCUCAGCAAGGAUUGUCCUGCACUUAAAACACUACAGGAUGACUUUCUGGAGUUUGCAAAAGACAAACACUUCCAGGUGCUGAGUUUCGUAGAGACACUACCAACCUACAUCGGCAGCAUGAUUAAGCUCCACGUGGUGCCUCUGGAAUCAGCAGAUUUAGGCAUUGGAGAUCUAAUUCCUGUGGAUGUUAACCACUUGAACAUUUGUAAGCCCAAGACAAAGGAUGCUUUUUUGUACCAACGUACCUUACAAUUCAUCCGCGACGCUUUAGCUGAAGACCUGGAAAACUGACAGUUGUCGUCUUCCGUUUUCAUACAUGAACAAGAAACGUGGUGUUCUCUCUUUUUAGGCUCUAAGCAGUCAUGCAGACGUAGUCACUGUGGCAUCAGCAAGGCCUGGAGUGUGUUGCAGGCAACAGAAAAUUGUUCUGUAAGACAUAAACACCGAAGUGGCAAUCAGAGAAUGAAGGGCCAGCCUGGGUUCUCUGAUUUAAGAAAACUUGUAUGCGGGCCAGUUCGUGUUUUGCAGUGUUGUCCCUGGUGACAGGGAGCCAGCUGCUAUGGACAGAGAAUGUGAUCUGUGACUGGCCUCCCGUGACUGCCCUCGGCUCGUGCUGGGAGGAGCACGAUGGCCUCCGAGGGGAGCACCCUCGCCGGCUUACCGUAAAAAUGCCUUUGGAGAGUACCUAAACUGGAGAGAGAAUGAACCAGAACAUAAAAGACUCUGUUUUGGGUCUGGGUUUCCAUGUGCUAUAAAUUUUAAAAAACUUGUCAGUAUAAACCUUCGUCUUAUAUGAUAGCUUUGUUAGACCUCUUAUCAUCCAGGGGUCAGUUCCUUAUAAGUAUUUAUUUUCAUAUUGCCGAGAACAAAUAUUUCUUGUGUUAAAAAAGUUCUAGCCCUGGAGUUCCCAUUGUGACACAGUGGAAAUGAAUCUGACUAGGAGCCAUGAACUUUCGGGUUUGAUCCCUGGCCUUGCUUAGUGGGUUAAGGCUCCAGCAUUGCUGUGAGCUGUGGUGUAGGUCCCAGAGGCGGCUCAAAUCUGGUGUUGCUGUGGCGUAGGCCAGUGGCCAUAGCUCCAAUUGGACCCCUAGCCUGGGAAUCUGGGACUCUCCAUAUGCCACAGGAGUGGCCCUAAAAAAAAAAAAAAAAAAAAAAAAAAAAAAAAGUUCUGUCCUUAUAAUACUUCUUUCCAGACUGUGGCUAACUAUACUUUUAAUUUUUCCAAAAUAGGAAUAAGUCCAUUACUGAUCAAGAGUGUGAAAUAAAACUAUUUCAAGCCAUCCUUACUAUCAAGAUUCUCAAAUUCUGGAGUUCCUGUUGUGGCUCAGUGGGUUAAGAACCCGGCUAGUAUCCAUGAGGAUGCUGCUUUGAUCUGUGGCUUCACUCAGUGGAUUAAGGAUCCAGCAUUGCUGCAGCUGCAACACAAGUUGCAGGUGUGACUGGGAUCCCGUGUUGCUGUGGCUGUGGUGUAGGCCAGCAGCUGUAGCUCUGAUUCCACCUCUAGCCAGGGAAUUUCUCUAUGCCAUAGGUAUGGCCCUAAAAAGAAAGAAAAAAAAAAAAAAAAAAGAUACUCCAAUUCUUUUUAGCUAAAUAAAUUAUACCUUUCUUGCCAUUUGGAAGUGGUAUUGGUAAAUUGAUCUCAGCAUGUGAGAAAUUGGAAAUCAUAUUGAUGACUUUUUAAAUGAGAGCACUGUUGAGAUAUAAUUCACAUACCAUAAAACUCACCCUUUUAAAUGUAAAGUUCAUUCAUUUUUAGUGUUUUAACAAUUGUGCAACCAUCACCACUAGUUUCAGAAUAUUUUGUCAUCUUCCAAAAUGCAAUCACCCUUCCUCUCUUUACCCCUGAGCUCCUGGUGAACACUAAUCCUCUGACUCUAUGGAUUUGCCUAUUAUGGACAUUUCAUAUAAAUGGAGUUUUAUAAUAUGUGGCCUUCUAUGUCUGGCUUAUUAGCAUGUUUCCAAGGUUUAUCCGUCAUGUAGCGUGUGUACAUGUAGUACGUUGUUCUUUCUUAUGGCCAAACCCAUGUAUGGAUGUACCACGUUUGUGCAUCCAUCCGUCAGUUGGUGGCCAUUUAGGUUCUUUCCCUUUGGGGGCCAUUUAGGUUCUUUUCCCUUUGGGGGCUAUGAAUAAUGCUGCUAUGAACAUUCAUGUACAGGUUUUUGUGUGGACCUGUUUUCCAUUCUCUUGGAUAUAGUAGGAGUGGAAUCGCUGGGUCAUGUUAAGCUUAUGCUUACCAUUUUGAAAAUGGUGGACCUGGAGUACGGCAUCUGAAGGGUAAGUGGGGUCAUCAGUGAACCCUAGCUGCAUCUCCUUAUUGAAUUAUGCAACAGCCUGACAGUGACUUAACUAUUUGUUUUAUUAUGUAGGUAAAGAGGGUGAUGGUUCGCUGACAACAAUAAACUCUAGCUAAGGAAGGUGCCAUGCGGAGAGGGGUUAGAUAUGUUUGGUUCAUUUUUUUUUUCCCAAGAACCAUGGCAGAUAAACCGUGGCUAGAACAUCUGUUCAUUAACUUAGACAAAUGGAAUGAAAUCCCACUCCUUAAAAUCUCAGUAUAGUCAUUAUAGCUGUGCUUUAAAAAUAAGAUCUGGGGGAGGGAUCCAGUGUACCUCUGAAGCACUGUAGUUUUUCAGGCAAGUCACUUAAAAUUAACAUCUUUGUUUGUUUCUUCUGUUUAUGAAAUGGAUAUGAUAAACACAGUCACUUUGGUUUGUGAGAUUUAAGUCCAUAAUGUUAUAAUCAUUACCUGAAACACUCUUUAAGAACACAACAUACAAAACAUACAUCUUUGAAAUAAUUUUAAACUUAGACCAUCAAUAAAAUGGUUCUCCUGGUUCAA